rnacentral:lncRNA from 1 species
CAACUCUCGGGUGGGAUUUAGUCCCACAUCGGAUAGAUAGGAAUCUUGAGAAGAGUUUAUAAAGAGGAGGCACUCCUCACCGUACAAGCCGGUUUUGUAUGGAUGAGUUAGGCCUCAAUAUUCGUGACAUGGUAUCAGAGCCUAUCGGGUCCAUCGUUGGGCUUCCUGCAUCUCCACGCUUCAGGCCCAUUGGGCCGGGCUGAAGCGUGAGGGGGUGUGUGUUAGCGGCCAACUCUCGGGUGGGAUUUAGUCCCACAUCGGAUAGAUAGGAAUCUUGAGAAGAGUUUAUAAAGAGGAGGCAUUCCUCACCGUACAAGCCGGUUUU